UGGGGAAUAUUGCACAAUGGGCGAAAGCCUGAUGCAGCGACGCCGCGUGAGGGAUGACGGCCUUCGGGUUGUAAACCUCUUUCGCACGGGACGAAGGGUGACUGACGGUACCGUGAGAAGAAGCACCGGCUAACUACGUGCCAGCAGCCGCGGUAAUACGUAGGGUGCGAGCGUUGUCCGGAAUUAUUGGGCGUAAAGAGCUCGUAGGCGGUUUGUCGCGUCGACUGUGAAAACCUGGGGCUUAACUCUGGGCCUGCAGUCGAUACGGGCAGACUUGAGUUCGGUAGGGGAGACUGGAAUUCCUGGUGUAGCGGUGAAAUGCGCAGAUAUCAGGAGGAACACCGGUGGCGAAGGCGGGUCUCUGGGCCGAUACUGACGCUGAGGAGCGAAAGCGUGGGGAGCGAACAGGAUUAGAUACCCUGGUAGUCCACGCUGUAAACGUUGGGCGCUAGGUGUGGGGGACAUUCACGUUUUCCGUGCCGUAGCUAACGCAUUAAGCGCCCCGCCUGGGGAGUACGGCCGC
rnacentral:rRNA from 1 species